ensembl:snRNA U6 U6 spliceosomal RNA
GUGCUUGCUUCGGCACCACAUAUACUAAAACUGGAAUGAUACAGAAAAGAUUAGUCUGACCCCUGUGCAAGGAUGACACACAAAUUCAUGAAGCAUUCCAUAUUUUU